CGGACGGGUGAGUAACGCGUGGGUAACCUGCCUUACACAGGGGGAUAACACCUGGAAACAGGUGCUAAUACCGCAUAAGCGCACAGCUUCGCAUGAAGCGGUGUGAAAAACUCUGGUGGUAUACGAUGGUUCCGCGUCUGAUUAGCUAGUUGGUGGGGUAAUGGCCUACCAAGGCAACGAUCAGUAGCCGGCCCGAGAGGGUGAGCGGCCACAUUGGGACUGAGACNCGGCCCAGACUCCUACGGAAGGCAGCAG
rnacentral:rRNA from 1 species